rnacentral:rRNA from 1 species
UACAGAGGGGGCAAGCGUUGUCCGGAUUUACUGGGCGUACAGCGCGCGCAGGCGGGUGGUGACGUGCCGUGUGACAAGCCGCAGCUUAACUGCGGAGGGCCAUGGUAGACGCACCGCCUAGAGGCAGGGAGAGGGAUGUGGAAUACCCGGUGGAGCGGUGAAAUGCGUAGAGAUCGGGUGGAACACCAGCGGCGAAGGCGGCAUCCUGGUCCUGACCUGACGCUGAGGCGCGAGAGCGUGGGGAGCGAACCGG